CUCAGUUUCUGAUUAUGCGCAGAGUUUCCUUGUACUGAGCUUAUGUUCUCCACCCACUACUUAGUAAGAACUCCUUAACAACUUAAAGCUUUAUCCCUGUGAGUACCAGAAAAGUGAUCUGAGUAUUUAUUGAGCAGGGAGAACAAACUGCUUGCUCCGGGCAGGGAGAAAGCUUAUGGAAAUGAUAUUAGACCUUCAGCAAAGUGCACAGCUGCAUCAUACAGAAGCUGAGACUCAAACUGACAGGCAAAUAAGCCAGAUCACGGAAGGGGCCUCUGUGUGGCAGCUCUGAGCUACCAAGUAUGGGACAACUAGGCAAAAAGUGCAAUGGAACAGGGCAGAAAAUAACACACUAACUUCAGGCAACUGUUGCUUUUUCAUGGCCUGGAAAGUAAGAUUUUCUGUAGACGUCAACUUCUCUCUGGUUUGAUGCCCCAUUCUUCUGCUGAUGCCACAUGCACCACUGAUUAGUACGGGGAAAUGGAAGAGGUCUCUUGAAAUAAGGGGUCCAGCUGCCUUCCCCCUUCGCAGUGAGGCCGUGUUUGCCACGUCGCCAGCCACAGAGCAAGAGAAGCCAACUUUAGGAGCAUGCAUAUUGUGAUAUCCUCAGCGAUUUCUUUUACAAUGCAUUCUGCUCAGGCCAGCGAAUUUAUUUUAACUGAUCAGUAAAAGAAAAAAAUAAAAUGAAAAAGGAAACUGAAGAAGUUAAUUAUACCAGAAUUCAGCGAAGCUGAACGGCUUCCCGAAGAGCACUGAGUUUUCUAUGCCAGAUUCUGCUCCAGUGGCUAGGACCUUUAUGGCUGCUGUUUCUUUUGCUCUGGGCUCUGAUGGAGGAAAAAAAAAAAAAAAAAAAAGCCACGGUGGAUCCCGUCCCUAAAGUAGAAAUUUUCUUUUUCAUUCUGCAAACAAGCCUAAAGAUCGGAGGAGAAUGAAUGCGAAAGUAAUUCAGGAUUGUGGUCGUGCCAUUAAAAGUGUUCGGCUUCAGAACGAAAUUAUUCGAGAAACCAGAGCAUUUCUUCUUACUGUAUCGACAGUAUUUGAAAGUUAUGUGUGCUUUAAGUAAUCUGGUUCAAGUGACAACAAUCUCUGCAUGUCAAUGUUUUCUACAGCUUAUGGAGUGAAAGCUAGUUUUGCCACUGGAGAGGAAGAAGCUUUUGCUAGCAGUCUGUAGAAGGAUUAAAUGUUGAACGUGGGGAAGAGGCAAAAAAGUGAAUACACGCCCAAAGGUUAUCCUUGCAUCGUGAAUGGGUUUAAAGUACUCUGUAACCCAGGGCCCACCUGAACAGUAGGACUAAAAGUAUAAUGGGGAAAUAUUUCAAUUAGAAACCCCUUAACAAGCAUUUAAUCCUUUUUUCAGGCAUUAAGGGAAAGAGAAUAAAAUUGUUACUGUACAAAUCUGCUGGAAGCAGAUUUUAACCCAUUUUUAGACGCUUCCCUCUGAUGCAUUAUAAUAUGGUUACUUGCAAGACGAGGCAGUGAAGAUUUUUUUUCCUGUGUUUUUGUUUUUUGUUUUCAAAAGUUAAGGACUAUACUCUCAAGAAAAGUCUGUGCAGUCAGCUGAUACAUUGUUUGAAUGUAUGUAUAUGUCUUGCCUGAUUAUUUGAUCUUUUCUGCCCCCUACUUGAAAUUGUGGUUUGUUUAUUUGGGGGGAAGGAGGGGUUGUUGAUUUGGGGGGGAUGUUGUUUUUUGGGUUUGUUUUGUGUUUUGUUUUUUUUUAACAAUAGCAGUGAAAGUUUUACUGACAGCGAGUAUGACUACUAAGCAAUUCAGUUUAUUGGAAGACGAAUUCUACUGGAUCAUAUCAGACUUUUCCUAGUCCCUGAGACCCUAACUUGUGAGGUUUUUUAGCAACAAUCACAAGUCAGGCUCUUGGGACCUAGGCGGAGGGGAACCAGCAGCUUUGGACUGUGAUUGUUUCUCUGCAGAAUUUAGAGAACCAAAGGAGCUUUCCUUGUCUGGAAGGGAAAAAAGGAAAAUAUAACUAUAUCAAAUAUUAAGCAGCAGAACUGCUUUUGUUCCUAAAAGACAAAAACAACAACACUGUUAUCCAUUGUGCAACAUUAGGAUGUUACAUAUUUGUGUAUUUUGAAAACUGGACUAGAUGCCAUGUAACAUUUAGAAUUAAAAUUUAAACUGAAUGCCAGUUUGCGCCUCAAAAAACACCCACCAAAACCCAACUCAGAACAGAUACUAAAAUAUACAAAAGGCUUUCAACCAUAUUAUUAUUACUAUUAUUAUUAACACUUCUGAGAGACAGUUACUGCAAAGUAUAUUACAAUGUCAUAUAAAUGUAUUGUAACAGCAUUAAUUAACUUCUAAAACAUAAGGCAUAAACAGUGAUGUUUGAGGCCUAGAAAACAUUCAUUCUAUUGUUGUUUGAACAAUGAUUUCAGUCUACAGGAAAACUGUUGCUUAGCUUUUCCUGUAACAUGGGACAAAGAUUAGUUUGUUAGUUAGUUACCAUCACUUUUGUCUAAGUGUGAACACAAUAUGGCAUUUAAAAUAUUCUCUUGUUUAAUUGACAUUUUAAUCUAUAGACAAUAUUGGUGUAAAAAUCAUGCUACAGCAUGAAAAUAACUUUUUACACAGAAUCACAUUUCUUGUACCUGUUCAACUGAAACUGAGCCGACAAUACUCUAAGCAUCGGACUCAACUUCUAGCCUCUCCAUCACAAAAAAAAAGGUGAAAAAACCAGAAUGAGCUUUAGGUUGUCCCUCAUAUUAAGUACUUCAGUGACUUUGCAUAAGAAGAUUCACAGGCACAGAUUUCACACUGUUCAUUAGUCUAAAACUUCUGAUCUACAACACAUAAUUUGAUUUGCAUUUCUUAAUAUUUUGUAGGUGGGUUGGUCCUGAGUAAUUUUUCUGUUUCCUGUGUCUAACCCAAGAUGCUGCAGGAUCUUGUUGAUGCAUCAGACUUCACUGAGACAAAGGCUUAACACAGAUCAGGCAUCUAAACUAUUUGUUCGUUUCAGAAGCGGUAGUUUGGCUGCAGUAUAUUUUUUCCACUUGCGUGGGAGGAAUUGUGUUUUAUUGUAAACAUCAACACUAUUGUUAAAAUAAAUUGUUCUUAUCUGUUAGUAUAAUA